rnacentral:rRNA from 1 species
CACGUAGGGCGCAAGCGUUGUCCGGAAUUAUUGGGCGUAAAGAGCUCGUAGGCGGUCUGUUGCGUCCGCUGUGAAAACUCGGGGCUUAACCCCGAGCCUGCAGUGGAUACGGGCAGACUAGAGGUAGGUAGGGGAGAAUGGAAUUCCCGGUGUAGCGGUGAAAUGCGCAGAUAUCGGGAGGAACACCGAUGGCGAAGGCAGCCCCCUGGGCUAACACUGACGCUCAUGCACGAAAGCGUGGGGAGCAAACAGG